rnacentral:rRNA from 1 species
ACGGAAGGCAGCAGUGGGGAAUAUUGCACAAUGGGCGCAAGCCUGAUGCAGCGAUGCCGCGUGAGGGUAGAAGGUUUUCGGAUUGUAAACCUCUGUCAUCGGGGACGAUAAUGACUGUACCCGAGAAGGAAGCUCCGGCUAACUACGUGCCAGCAGCCGCGGUAAUACAUAGGGAGCGAGCGUUAUCCGGAAUUACUGGGUGUAAAGGGAGUGUAGGCGGGACUGUAAGUCAGAUGUGAAAUAUACCGGCUCAACUGGUAGACUGCAUUUGAAACUGCGGUUCUUGAGUGAAGUAGAGGUAAGCGGAAUUCCUAGUGUAGCGGUGAAAUGCGUAGAUAUUAGGAGGAACAUCAGUGGCGAAGGCGGCUUACUGGGCUUUAACUGACGCUGAGGCUCGAAAGCGUGGGGAGCAAACAGGAUUAGAUACCCUGGUA